AAUUUGCCUUAAAAAAGAGGGGGUAGAGAUAACUGUGCCACCUACAGAAAAUUUGUUUAAUAUUUACCAAGUUAAAUUUACCCCUUGUGGUUAUUAUAAUCUUAUUACGUCCCACAGUAUGCCUCCAAGUCUAAUACUUCAGUACUGGCAAAAUAUGCAAGCACAUAAAGGGCAAUGCUUAAGAAAUAAUGCUUUAAUAUUUUAGCUAAUGUAUCUUUACAUUCUGUGUAUGGGUGUAAUUAUUGACAAAUCUGGAAAUUACAGUGGAGCAAACACAUUAGGAAUAUGCCAAAACAUCUUUAGUCACAAACACAUAAUAUUUUGCAAAUCAAAAUGAUACCCAGAAUAAUGAGAAAUUUCUGUUGAUUUUAUUGCUGUAU